rnacentral:rRNA from 1 species
GACGAACGCUGGCGGCGUGCUUAACACAUGCAAGUCGAACGGUAAACGAGGAAGCUUUCUCCCUCCGGAUCAGUGGCGCACGGGUGAGUAACACGUCAGCAAUCUUCCCCGAACGCUGGGAUAAGCUAUUGAAACGACGUCUAAUACCGGCUACGACGCGGGAGGGCAUCCUCUCCGCGUGGAAAGAACUUCGGUUCGGGAUGAGCUCGCGGCUUAUCAGCUUGUUGGUGAGGUAACGGCUCACCAAGGCGACGACGGGUAGCCGGCCUGAGAGGGUGACCGGCGACAAUGGGACUGAGAGACGGCCCAGACUCCUACGGGAGGCAGCAGUGGGGAAUAUUGCGCAAUGGGCGCAAGCCUGAUGCAGCAACGCCGCGUGAGGGAAGACGGCCUUCGGGUUGUAAACCUCUUUUAGCAGGGAAGAAGCGAAAGUGACGUUACCUGCAGAAAAAGCACCGGCUAACUACGUG